AUACGAAGGGGGCUAGCGUUGUUCGGAAUUACUGGGCGUAAAGCGCGCGUAGGCGGACUGAUCAGUUGGGGGUGAAAUCCCAGGGCUUAACCCUGGAACUGCCUCUAAUACUGUCAGUCUUGAGUUCGGGAGAGGUGAGUGGAAUUCCUAGUGUAGAGGUGAAAUUCGUAGAUAUUAGGAAGAACACCAGUGGCGAAGGCGGCUCACCGGCCCGAUACUGACGCUGAGGCGCGAAAGCGUGGGGAGCAAACAGGAUUAGAAACCCUUGUAGUCC
rnacentral:rRNA from 1 species